rnacentral:rRNA from 1 species
CCGUUGCCGGCGACCGGCGCACGGGGUGAGUAACACGUAUGCAACCUGCCCGUGGCAGGGGGAUAAGCGGGGGAAACCCCGUCUAAUACCGCGUAACGCGGCCUUGGGGCAUCCCAAGGCCGCCAAAGGGAGCAAUCCCGGCCACGGAUGGGCAUGCGGCGCAUUAGCUAGUCGGCGGGGUAACGGCCCACCGAGGCGACGAUGCGUAGGGGUUCUGAGAGGAAGGCCCCCCACACUGGUACUGAGACACGGACCAGACUCCUACGGGAGGCAGCAG